rnacentral:rRNA from 1 species
UACGGAGGGUACAAACGUUGUUCGGAAUCACUGGGCAUAAAGCGCGCGUAGGCGGUCUACCCAGUUAGGUGUGAAAGCCCUCGGCUCAACCGAGGAAUUGCAUCUAAUACUAGUAGGCUUGAGGAUGGUAGGGGUGUGUGGAACUUCAGGUGGAGCGGUGAAAUGCGUAGAUAUCUGAAGGAACACCUGUGGCGAAAGCG